AUUCCAGCUCCAAUAGCGUAUAUUAAAGUUGUUGCAGUUAAAAAGCUCGUAGUUGGAUUUCUGGCGUGCGACCCGGGUCGGCCCGAAAUGGGUCUGUACUAGGAGUCGCGCGCCAUCCUUGGGGCGAGGCGUUCUACCAUUAACUUGGCGGUGCGUUGAGCCCCAUCGUUUACUGUGAACAAAUUAGAGUGUUUAAAGCAGGCAUAUGCCUUGAAUACAUUAGCAUGGAAUAAUAAGAUAGGACUUCGGUAAUAUUUUGUUGGUUCAUUAUUGAGGUAAUGAUUAAUAGGGAUAGUUGGGGGUAUUCAUAUUCAAUUGUCAGAGGUGAAAUUCUUGGAUUUAUGGAAGAUGAACAACUGCGAAAGCAUUUACCAAGGAUGUUUUCAUUA
rnacentral:rRNA from 1 species